rnacentral:tRNA from 1 species
GUCUGCAUAGAUUAAAAUAAAAAUUAUGAGGCUGUUAACUUCAAGAUAGAUGUAAAUGCUUACAGACG